rnacentral:misc_RNA from 1 species
AUGCGAGGAUUACAAACAUGAGUUUGACAUCGUUUUCUGGGAAAAAAGCAGAAGAAUUUUAAUUUUCGUUUUGCAGCCGCUUGAUUUUUCAUAAAAAGGAGUGUCCCACUAGGCACUGCUAGAGAUGUCCCAGGAGGGGAGUGACCUAGAUCUAUAUAACCCAAGCCCUUCAUCAGAUCACAUAGAUCUCACGGAGACAUCUGAAGAUGAUGCCGGACCUUCCGAGUACAAGGACUUCCCUGAAUCCACAGGCUGUGAUGUGAGACCCUCAGAAUCCUGUACAAAUGUAAGAGCGGGGCACACUGGUUCCUCAGUGAAGAGGAAAUUGUCCAGUUUUGCAGAGCCAGAAAUCCUAGAAGAUUAUGAUGAUAUUAAAGAGGAGUUUGAAUCUCCAAUCCUUCCACGGAAAAAAAUCAAAUCAAUGGAAAUCCAGAGUCGGAGUGAAUCUGAAUCGGAGACUCUUCUUCAACCAGGGAAAUCCUUUUUGGUGAAAGACUUUACAUCAGGACCAACAUCCACUGACACUGGUCUGUCUGAGAAUUUGGACAAGGAUUAUGACUUAUCCAAAAUUUUCAAGUUAUCUCCAAAGGAAAGUAAACCAGUGGAGAAGGGGAAAGGUGAAGCAUUUCAUGACGAAGGGGAAAGCAGUACAGAAGUUAAACAGGGAGUGGAAACUUUCAUACAGAAAUCAAUUUCAGAGGAGGAUGUUGAAUUAGUGGUACAUAGUGUUAAACACAGAUCUGCUAUAUAAAAGCCUUGAUGUAGAGGAGCUGCAUAAAAACUUUUUCAAGUUAAAAUGAAAAAUAUUUAGUUUUAGAAUAAGUUGAAGGAUGUUAUAAUAAUUGUUCAUUAUGUUGAAAACUUCAAAGUCCAUAGUGUCUUGUUGUUUUUUUUGUCCUUUUGUAUUUAAUUUAGAAAGAGAUGUUUCCACACCUUGAAGAGAAAAUGAUCUUCAGAAUUUUAAAAAAGUUACAGAAAACAGAUGAAGAUACUGAUACAUGCAUUCUUGAGCGAGUGAUAGAUUAUUUUCUAAAAACAGAGUUACCAUCACCAGAGAAGAAUACAGCAUCACAAGAUGUACAAGCUGCUUUGGGAAAUACUCGCCCGGCUUUUCUCAUUCAAGGCAUGCAUUUUAUUCAAAACAUUUUGUGUUGUUGAUAUUUGUUCAAACUGAAUUAUAAUUUACAUGUACUUUCAAUAAAAUACAGAUGUACUGAUAAUUGUGUGUGUCAUCUAAAUUUAGCGACAAGUUCAUCUUCAACUCCAACUCAAUCAGAUGAGUUGCCCAAGUUACAAUGUCGUAAUCGCACGAACAGAGGGCAGAAGGGGGCCUCUAACAAAGGAAACAAAGGGAAAGCACCUGCAAAGAAAAUAAGAACAGAGGUUUCAUACUGUGAAUCUGAGGAUAAUGUAAUGGAAUUGGAUGGAUAUGGCAGCGAGAGCAGUGCCUCCUCAUCACUGGGUGAGGUGGCUGUGUCUGUCCCUCCUGCGGACAGGUAUCCCGUCAGUUACGCAGAAGUUUCCUCAUCACUCUUAAAGUGUGAUGCCUGUGGUUCCCAACAAGAAACAACCGCCAUAAGCCAGUGCUGCAACGAUCACCUUGUCUGUAAAACCUGUGUGGAAAAACAAGUCAAGAGCGUGAUCUCCCUUGACAGCCAAGAUACUCAGAUUUCCUGUCCUAUGUUUGGUUGCAAUACGUACAUCCCUAUGAGUCAAGCUUCAAAAGUCCUACCCUCGCUGGUAAUGGAGCUUCUGGAGGAAAAGGUCAACAAGAAAGCAAUGGAGUCAAUAACACAAAUGGAGGACCUACACAGUUGUCCAUUUUGUAAUUAUCCUGUUGCUGUAGACCAUGACCUCAAGAAAUUUUCAUGUCCAAAUCCAGAUUGCAAGAAAUUAAGUUGUAGGUUCUGCAAGAAGAUGUGGAAUGAGGGUUGCCAUAAUAGCUGCAAUGCAUUCACAACGUUUUUGGAUGAGAGCAACAACCAUCUAGAGCUUCCCAAAUACUGGGACAAAAUGCCGACAGAACAAACAGACUUUAUUUUGGUGGAGCUGGAUCGCUCAGGGAUGGAAUUUAAAAUGAUCAAGGACCUUUUCUGUUCUUCCUUGAAAAAUAUCAACCCCAUUUCCAUACGCAGAGUCCAAAAUCCUCGAUUAUGGGAAAAAUUUAGUUUGACAAGAAAACACAUGGCUGAAGAAAUAGGGAUUUUGAAUGAAAGACAACUAUUUCAUGGAACUAAAAGUGAAGCAAUAGAAACUAUCUGCAGAGAUGGGCUGGACUGGAGAAUGUGUGGAGAAAAUGGGGUUGCCUUUGGGCAAGGUACCUACUUUGCUAAGCAUGCAAAGUAUUCAGACACUUAUUGUGUUCCAUACAGUGGUAACAGAGGCAGCAGUGCUGUUCAACAACCAAGAGUACCGGUAGUGAAAAUACGAUCCGUCUCCAAAAACCCUAAUCUACAUUAUACUGUUUCUGUAUCCAAUCCCAUGUUUGGACCUACAGUUACCCUUCAGGGGACAGGGAGGCAAGCAUCAACCUCAAAUAUUGGACCCAGUCCAGUAGGACUUCUAAAAUCGAAUGUGCUUACAACUCCAGUCGUUCAACCGACCUCCGUGCCCUUUCAACAGAUCAGUGCUCUCCAUGGAAUAGGAACACAGAUGGGAUUUGGAGCAGUGACAAUGGGCACACCGUUUGGCUCACCACAGACUGCUCAAACUACCGGUAACAAUCAUUCCAAUCCCUCCCAGUCAAGUGUUGCUGAUGCUCCUAAAGUGACCGCAGACGUUGGACAGAUACUAAGAGUGCAGCAUAAGUACAUGUUUGUGGCUCGUGUGUUAGUGGGAUGUCCAGGACAGGGACGGCCAGGAUUGAGGAAACCCCCGGAGGAUCCCACCGAUCCAAAAGGAAGGACAUUCCAUUCCUGUGUUAAUUCUUUGCAGAAACCAAGCAUAUUUGUGAUUUUUGACAGUACACAGUGCUAUCCAGAAUACCUCAUUGAAUAUGUCAAUCUGAACUCCAACAGGUAGACAAUGUGAAAGGAAACUCUCAAGUGCCAAUAGAUUUAAUCUGAUUUUUAAACCAGUAUGUUUCACUGAUUGUAUCAAUUACACAUGUAGUUCUUGUUACAUAUUAUAAUUUGUUAGAGUUCCAGACAUAUUAAAUAAUCUAUUAAAAUGAUGUGUAUUUUAUAUCUGUU